rnacentral:rRNA from 1 species
GACGAACGCUGGCGGCGUGCUUAACACAUGCAAGUCGAACGGAAAGGCCCUGCUUUUGUGGGGUGCUCGAGUGGCGAACGGGUGAGUAACACGUGAGUAACCUGCCCUUGACUUUGGGAUAACUUCAGGAAACUGGGGCUAAUACCGGAUAGGAGCUCCUGCUGCAUGGUGGGGGUUGGAAAGUUUCGGCGGUUGGGGAUGGACUCGCGGCUUAUCAGCUUGUUGGUGGGGUAGUGGCUUACCAAGGCUUUGACGGGUAGCCGGCCUGAGAGGGUGACCGGCCACAUUGGGACUGAGAUACGGCCCAGACUCCUACGGGAGGCAGCAGUGGGGAAUAUUGCAUAAUGGGCGGAAGCCUGAUGCAGCAACGCCGCGUGCGGGAUGACGGCCUUCGGGUUGUAAACCGCUUUCGCCUGUGACGAAGCGUGAGUGACGGUAAUGGGUAAAGAAGCACCGGCUAACUACGUGCCAGCAGCCGCGGUGAUACGUAGGGUGCGAGCGUUGUCCGGAUUUAUUGGGCGUAAAGGGCUCGUAGGUGGUUGAUCGCGUCGGAAGUGUAAUCUUGGGGCUUAACCCUGAGCGUGCUUUCGAUACGGGUUGACUUGAGGAAGGUAGGGGAGAAUGGAAUUCCUGGUGGAGCGGUGGAAUGCGCAGAUAUCAGGAGGAACACCAGUGGCGAAGGCGGUUCUCUGGGCCUUUCCUGACGCUGAGGAGCGAAAGCGUGGGGAGCGAACAGGCUUAGAUACCCUGGUAGUCCACGCUGUAAACGGUGGGUACUAGGUGUGGGGUCCAUUCCACGGGUUCCGUGCCGUAGCUAACGCUUUAAGUACCCCGCCUGGGGAGUACGGCCGCAAGGCUAAAACUCAAAGGAAUUGACGGGGCCCCGCACAAGCGGCGGAGCAUGCGGAUUAAUUCGAUGCAACGCGUAGAACCUUACCUGGGUUUGACAUGGAUCGGGAGUGCUCAGAGAUGGGUGUGCCUCUUUUGGGGUCGGUUCACAGGUGGUGCAUGGCUGUCGUCAGCUCGUGUCGUGAGAUGUUGGGUUAAGUCCCGCAACGAGCGCAACCCUUGUUCACUGUUGCCAGCACGUUAUGGUGGGGACUCAGUGGAGACCGCCGGGGUCAACUCGGAGGAAGGUGGAGAUGACGUCAAGUCAUCAUGCCCCUUAUGUCCAGGGCUUCACGCAUGCUACAAUGGCUGGUACAGAGAGUGGCGAGCCUGUGAGGGUGAGCGAAUCUCGGAAAGCCGGUCUCAGUUCGGAUUGGGGUCUGCAACUCGACCUCAUGAAGUCGGAGUCGCUAGUAAUCGCAGAUCAGCAACGCUGCGGUGAAUACGUUCCCGGG